AAUCCGCGCUAUUUUGAUCCAAGUAAAGCCGAGACUCGAUCUCCUUAAGCACAUACAUUUGCUGGGUUUAAGUUGUCUCGCCACCCGCCGCCUCGUCCUCCCGUAAGUCCCGAUCGGUUCCGAGCAAAGCUUGACUUCAUUCGCCGUUGUCAAGUUGUGAUUUGCAUUUUUCUCACGUGUUCCGUCUGUGCUGUCGUUAGAUAACGAGAAGAACGAAGCGGAUGUUCAAUCGGACUCAAAGGAUUUGAGCAUAGCUCCGGUUAGGAAGGAUCGCAGCCUCUCGAUUUCGCCUCUCUCCAAGGUAUUUUCGAUCUCUCCGUGGCUUGAUUUUCCGUUCAUGUUAGGAUUGCGUGAGUAGAGAGAGAACUUGUUCUGCAAGUUGUGUCUUGCAGGUUUUGUUGCUCUUCUUGCAUCGCGACCUUUUUCCGUGUUUGAUUAUGAUUUUCUUUGUUCCAUAAAUAAGUUGCGUACUGCCGAGUGCUAUUUUUGUUUGGGGAAUUUGAUGGUGGGGAUCUAUUGGAUUAGGGAGUUGAAACUCGUGAAAGCUGUCGAAGAGAUUGGAUUGCGGGCAUAAUGUUUUGUUAGCCUACAUCGUGGAUAGUUUUUAGUGCUUCAAAAAUAGAAAUGUGCUUCAAAAAUAGAAAUGAUUGUUUCAUCUUCACUUGCCAAAUGGAGCUGUGAGUUUUUGCCGGCCCUCUUCUUUGUCCUGUAUUAGUCUAUACCAGUUUGUCUAUUGAGUUCCUUAAAUUGCCAUUGUUUGGCCCGACCACGUUGUGAUCAUAUUUUGCGAAAUCUUGGAUGGGUGUUGGACGGCAAUGAUGAGUGGAUAUGGUAGCUGAUGAUGGAAGUUGUGUCUUUUCUGGUUGUGAUUCUUAAACGCAUCGUGAUUUUAUGAAUGGUACUUUCGAUGUUGUGCUUGAUUGAGGAUAUUACUGCUCAAGUAAUACAAAGUUUUUAAUUGAGAUGAAAGAGUGCAAGGUACGAGAAGUAGAUUGGGCAAUCUGUGUAUGCUUGGCUUUUCUCAUUCCUUGAAUUGGAUUGCAUCCUCAUCCAGGUUUUAUUGUUCAUGUCAUGAGCAUGGAUGUAUCCAAUAGAAAACGCCCCCGUUGUCCUGUUUAUUGAAGUGCUCAAGGUUUAGUCUUUUGGUUCUCGUGUUAGGCGAUUAAGCUUUUGGUCAAAUAUCAGAAUUUCUUUCUCAGGUAGUUCUCAUUCCCACAUUGCUGAAUUUUCCACUUGUCUCGGUGUUUAUUAUUCUAAAUUAAUCAUUUUUCAGCUUAGAAAUUUCACUUGAAACAAUACAUUGAUUAGUUCGUGAGCUUUGCUGAUGUUGACUCUUGUGACUUGUUUAUAUUCUUUUUUCUUCACUUCUCUUUUGGCUUAGAAUCCAAGUGCUCAACUCUCUUUUCGUUCACAACCGAAGUGCUCGCCUCUCUCUUCAUUCAAAAGGUGUCGAUUGUCCCAUUUCAAACCUAGGUUCUUUCACUUCUAUUUCUUAUGUUUCUAUUCUUUUUCCCCACGUACGUAUCCAGCUUGGUGUGCUCUUUCAUGGGUUCAUAUGAAAUGAAUUUUUAAUUUAUUUGUAGUAUCCCUUGCUUUGUGUUCAUAGUUAGCAUCAUCUCUUUUCAUUUUUCAAAUAUGUUUGUAUUCAUUUUAUUAAAAGAUAGCAAGUUCAUCAAAUGAAAAGCGUAUUGGAGCCCUGAAGAUAUAUAAAUUUUUUGUCGAUUAUGCAUUGAACAAAUUGAAAAAGGCAAUCAUCCUAUGAGCAACAAAAGAGAUGGAUGGACAGAUAUAAUUAACAAUUUUAAGGAGCUGAGGGGAAAAAAGUAUGAUAAAAAUAAAAUGAAAAGUAAGUGGGAUAAUUUAAAGGAAGAAUGGAAAAAAAUGGAAGCAAUUGGUUCAAAAUGAAACAUGACUAAAAUGGGAUCCAAGGAAGAAAACCAUUGAUGCAAGUGACGAAUGGUGGGAGAGAAAAUUCAGGUGUUUAUCUAAUCUUUUAUUACUUUUUGUUUUCUAAGUUUGUCUUUUAUAAUAUAAUUCAUAAAAAUAUUUUAUUAUAACAGGCCAAUCCUAAGCUUAGAGUCUUUCGAAUGAAAGGCAUGCAUUCGGAUAUUAAAACUUUGUUGGAUCAAAUAUUCCAGGGUACAGUUGCCACUAUAAGUGUUACCUAGAAUCCUGCACAAGGUUUAUGCAAUAAUAAGAAUGUUGAGACCACACAAGCUGAUGUUGGUGAUUGUGCAGGAUCUACUGAUGAUACUUUAGAGGGUGAUGUAGGUGAAGCAAAUGCCCAACCAAGUCAAAGUAAGAGCCAUAAAAGAACGGUAGAAAGUUCGACGAAGCAAGCUCAAGGAAAGAGAGGGAAAAAAUUAAGCAGACUUGAUAAGUUAGCAUCACAAAUCGACAGACUUUGUUCAGUUGUUGAAAGGAGGAGUAAUGCAACAUCGGUUGCAAGGGAGUUUGAUCCUUACAAAGAAAUUGUACAAACAUUGAAAGCCAUACUUAAGAUUAAGCAAGAUGGAAAGUUAUUUAUUUUUUUUUUUUUGCACUCUCUCACUUUGCUGAAAAGAAAGACAAUAGGCAGAUUUUUAUGAACUUUGAUGAAGAAGAAGAAAAAGUUGAGUGGCUGAAGUAUAAGUUGGAAGAGUAUAAUAGUCGCCACUAGGAUGCUAGUUACUUCUUUGAGCUCUUUCAUAUUAGUCUAUGUUGUAAUUUGAGAUUUAUUUUCAGUUGCUAAUUUGCACUACUUGUGAACUUCGUUUGAUUAUGUUUUAAUGUGAGACAUGUGUUUUCAGUUUAUGUUAUUUCGAUUUGGUGGAAUUUGAAUAUAUAUUAUGAAAAAUAAUUGUUCCAUUGAUGGAUGAUUAUUCAUCUCAUUUCUUACUAUUUUGUUACUUUAAAUAAAUAUGGACGAUUCUCCUGAAAGAGAAAUCCAUGAAAACGAAGACGAGGAAUUCAAUCAACUUGUGGAAAUUACUCAAGUUGCAAUUGCUUAUCAAGCAAUAUACAGUCACAAAAAACCUUGUAGAACAUCAUCGUAUAUAGGAUAUGCAUGGUUAGAAGAGUUGAUGGGCGAAUAUGCUAAUACGAUAAGGUGUUAUCAAAUGUUUAGAAUGGAUAAGAUUGUAUUUAAUAAUUUAAUGCAUGAUUUAGUAACACGCUAUGGUCUUGAAGGAACUAGGAAUAUUGAUGUUAGAGAAAUGCUUUGAAUAUUUCUUCAUAUUUUAGGACAUGACAUAGGUAACAACUUAACACAAUAGCAUUUUCAACGCUUUAGGGAAACUAUAAGCAGGUACUUUAGGUUAGUAUUAGACAAAGUAUGUGAAAUGGGAAAAGAUUUGAUCCAACCAGCUGAUUGACAAUUUAGGGAUGUUUCGGAUAAGAUAAAAAAAUAAUCGAAGAUUGUAUCCAUAUUUUAAGGUAUGUUUUGAUUAUUUAAUAUAAAGAAAGAACUAAAUGCAAAUUUUGAUUAUAUAAUAAUAUUUGCGUUUUUGUUUUAGGAUUGUAUUAGAGCUAUUGAUGGCAAUCAUAUCCCAGCGGUAAUACCUGUAAAAGAUCAUAUUCAUUUUAUUGGUAAAAAAGGUACACCGACUCAAAAUGUCUUAGCGGUGUGUAAUUUUAAUAUGGAAUUCACUUAUAUUUGGGCUAGUUGGAAGGGCUAAGCCUAUAAUACUUGUAUUUUCUAUGAAGUUUUAGGGAGACAUGAUAUGCAAUUUCCUCAUCAUCCUCCAGGUUUAUUAAUUAAUGGUUUUUGUACAUUAAUAUGUAUAAAUAUGGUAUAUGUUGAUCAAAUUUAUAUUAUAUUUAUGCAGGUAAAUAUUAUUUAGUAGAUGCUGAAUAUCCAAAUUCGACGGGUUAUUUGGGAUCAUACAAAGAAGUUAUAUAUCAUUUGCCAGAAUUUCAAUAAGGUCCCGCCCCUACA
rnacentral:lncRNA from 1 species